rnacentral:rRNA from 1 species
AAUACCCGUUAGCGAUGACAUUAGCUGCAGAAUAAGCACCGGCUAACUCUGUGCCAGCAGCCGCGGUAAUACAGAGGGUGCAAGCGUUAAUCGGAAUUACUGGGCGUAAAGCGAGCGUAGGUGGCUUGAUAAGUCAGAUGUGAAAUCCCCGGGCUUAACCUGGGAACUGCAUCUGAUACUGUUAAGCUAGAGUAGGUGAGAGGGAAGUAGAAUUCCAGGUGUAGCGGUGAAAUGCGUAGAGAUCUGGAGGAAUACCGAUGGCGAAGGCAGCUUCCUGGCAUCAUACUGACACUGAGGCUCGAAAGCGUGGGUAGCAAACAGGAUUAGAUACCCUGGUAGUCCACGCCGUAAACGAUGUCUACUAGUCGUUGGGUCCCUUGAGGACUUAGUGACGCAGCUAACGCAAUAAGUAGACCGCCUGGGGAGUACGGCCGCAAGGUUAAAACUCAAAUGAAUUGACGGGGGCCCGCACAAGCGGUGGAGCAUGUGGUUUAAUUCGAUGCAACGCGAAGAACCUUACCUGGUCUUGACAUACACAGAAUCUUGUAGAGAUACGAGAGUGCCUUCGGGAAUUGUGAUACAGGUGCUGCAUGGCUGUCGUCAGCUCGUGUCGUGAGAUGUUGGGUUAAGUCCCGCAACGAGCGCAACCCUUGUCCUUAGUUACCAGCGGGUUAAGCCGGGAACUCUAAGGAUACUGCCAGUGACAAACUGGAGGAAGGCGGGGACGACGUCAAGUCAUCAUGGCCCUUACGACCAGGGCUACACACGUGCUACAAUGGGUAGGUACAGAGGGCAGCUACACAGCGAUGUGAUGCGAAUCUCAAAAAGCCU